UUUUAUCACUACUGGUUAACAGUGCUUCUGAGUGCCCACUCCUUUAUAUUCAGUGAGUGCUACUUGUGCCAGGUGGUACUCAUGUAAGGCCUCUUUAAGUCUUCAUGUCAACCUUUUGAGGACUAUGUUAUUCCUGUCUUAGAGAUGGGAACAUUGAGACUCAGAAGCAAUUUGCUCAGGAUGUUGCUACCACAAAGCUGUUGGGCAGAAGUCACCACAGCUGUAAGGCUCUGGGAGAGCCGGGUGAGGCGGCCAAGAUGUGCCAGUAAUACUGGGCCCCCCCCACCUCCAUCUGCCAUGCAGCACUUGAGCGCUUUUUGGAGCACAUGGCUAGUGAUACAAACUCAAGAGCUGGCUGGGGCCAAGGACCAGAACUUUUCUCCACGGGCCUAGUAUGACUGGCACACCUUGGGGUGCCUCCCCCAGAGCAAUCUCCUAGUCCUACCCCCUUAGGAGCAUGUCCAGAAGGGUAAAAAGCUGGGCAAGGAGCCACUGACUGACACCAGCUCCCCCCUCCCUUCUUCCAAACUUGGCCUCAGGAUUCUGAAUCAAGGCGCACGUGCCACUCUGCAGCCACCGCCCUCCCCAUGAUUGCUCGUCUGAUGAACGCUAGCUCCGUGCAAGGCACUGUGCCGGGCAUUGUAUACACGUGAUCUCAAUGAAAGCUCCCCCAAACCCUGAAGUAGAGACAUUAUCAUCUCCGUUUUAUCUAUGAGGACCUCAUGAGCGUAAGUCACUUGCUAAAGAACUCAGCAGACAUUCGACUAAUGAGACCGUCGGGCAUCCGGGAUUCCCCCGGGCGUCCUCCCAGCCCGGCAUUUUCCGAAUCACGUGCACGAACCCUCUUAACUUUCAGGAAAUCCUCACAGCCGUUCGGCGCUUCACGUGGAAAGGGGCCCAAGGGCCAAGAGGCGGCGCGGCCGCGGCUAGAGCCGGGUCUCCCGACCCCCGGUCUCCAAGGAAACUCCUCCCCAAACCCCUCCCCAACCCGGGGUCUCCCUCAGCCCGGGCCGCUCAGCACCGCCCCGGUCGCCGUGGCGGGAGGUGGCCCAGGCGGGCUCGGGGAAGGGGAGCCGGGACACCCACCUAAGUCCAUGGCGGCGACGCGGGCGCAAUGCGGCGAGGACUGCGCAGGCACCACGACACAAUGGGCGGCCCGGGGGCGGGGCCAAGGGCCGCGCCCCAGUCCCCGCCCACAGUCUCCGCUCCGGCUCCGCGCGGGCAGCGGCGGCGCCCUCCGCUCCGCGCGCACGCGCGGUCCUCACCUACCAGCCCGCGGCGUCCGGGCGCCAAACGCACAGCGCCCUCUGUCGACCCUCCAACAGACUUAGUCACCAGCCUCAAGUGUUUCUAGUUCUUCACCCUCCAGCUUCUAGGACCAGGUAUCAAGCCAGAGGGGCCGGA